rnacentral:misc_RNA from 1 species
CCAACUGCUGGUGCAGCUCUUGCCAGCCACAUGGAUGUUGACAAGAUUGCUUUCACAGGAUCAACUGAUACUGGUAAGAUUGUACUAGAAUUGGCUGCAAGAAGUAAUCUUAAACCAGUUACACUAGAGCUUGGAGGGAAAUCACCUUUCAUAGUUUGUGAGGAUGCUGACGUUGAUAAGGCUGUGGAGCUUGCACACUUUGCUUUGUUCUUCAAUCAGGGCCAAUGUUGCUGUGCUGGAUCUCGUACAUAUGUACACGAGCUUGUAUAUGAUGAGUUUAUAGAGAAAGCAAAGGCGCGUGCCAAGAGACGUGUUGUUGGUGAUCCUUUCAAGCAAGGUGUCGAACAAGGUCCACAGAUUGACUCGGAGCAAUUUCAGAAGGUCCUCAGGUAUAUAAGAUCUGGAAUCGAAAGCAACGCUACCCUUGAAUGUGGGGGUGACAGGUUUGGCUCCAAGGGCUACUUCAUCCAGCCCACUGUUUUCUCAAAUGUUCAGGAUGAUAUGUUGAUAGCACAGGAUGAGAUCUUCGGUCCAGUGCAAUCAAUCUUGAAGUUCAAGAAUCUUGACGAAGUAAUACGAAGGGCAAAUACUUCCCGUUACGGUCUGGCUGCAGGAGUUUUCACCAAGAACAUUGACACUGCAAACACCUUGUCUAGAGCACUGAGGGCAGGAACAGUGUGGGUUAACUGCUUUGAUGUGUUUGAUGCGGCAAUUCCUUUUGGUGGCUACAAGAUGAGUGGUAUGGGCAGGGAGAAGGGUAUCUACAGCCUUAACAACUACUUACAAGUGAAAGCAGUGGUUACUCCAUUAAAGAAUCCUGCCUGGCUGUAAGCUACAGCUCCUUUCCAUCAUGAUCCAGCGUCUCCUUUUCAUUUAAAAAUUAGUACAUGCGUAAAACAUUUGCUGUGAAAUCAUGCACCGGAGUUUAAAAAAA